CCUACGGGGUGCACCAGUGGGGAAUUUUGGACAAUGGGCGCAAGCCUGAUCCAGCAAUGCCGCGUGAGUGAAGAAGGCCUUCGGGUUGUAAAGCUCUUUUGUCGGGGAAGAAACGGCUGAGGAUAAUACCUUCGGCUAAUGACGGUACCUGAAGAAUAAGCACCGGCUAACUACGUGCCAGCAGCCGCGGUAAUACGUAGGGUGCAAGCGUUAAUCGGAAUUACUGGGCGUAAAGCGUGCGCAGGCGGUUUUGUAAGUCUGACGUGAAAGCCCCGGGCUCAACCUGGGAAUUGCGUUGGAGACUGCAAGGCUUGAAUCUGGCAGAGGGGGGCAGAAUUCCACGUGUAGCAGUGAAAUGCGUAGAGAUGUGGAGGAACACCGAUGGCGAAGGCAGCCCCCUGGGUCAAGAUUGACGCUCAUGCACGAAAGCGUGGGGAGCAAACAGGAUUAGAUACCCGUUAGUC
rnacentral:rRNA from 1 species